rnacentral:rRNA from 1 species
AUUGAACGCUGGCGGCAGGCCUAACACAUGCAAGUCGAGCGAGCGGCGGACGGGUGAGUAAUGUAUGGGGACUGCCCGUUAGAGGGGGAUAACAACUGGAAACGGUAGCUAAUACCGCAUACUAUAGGAGUUCCCACAUGGGGUUAGCUAGUAGGUGUGGUAAUGGCUCACCUCGGCGACGAUCCCUAGCUGGUCUGAGAGGAUGAUGCGCCACACUGGGACUGAGACACGGCCCAGACUCCUAGGGAGGCAGCAGUGGGGAAUAUUGCACAAUGGGCGCAAGCCUGCUGCAGCCAUGCCGCGUGUAGGAAGAAGGCCCUAGGGUUGUAAAGUACUUUCAGUCGGGAGGCGUUACCGACAGAAGAAGCACCGGCUAACUCCGUGCCAGCAGCCGCGGUAAUUC